UCUUUGCUAGUAUAUCGGUUAGUACACGCGCCUGUCAUGUGUAGGCGUUCCGCGCGAAAGCUGGGUUCGACUCCCAGGCAGAGAG